rnacentral:rRNA from 1 species
GUCUUUUUGAGUAUAAUUUAAAGUCUAACCUGCCCAAUGAGUAGUUAAAUGGCCGCGGUACUCUGACCGUGCAAAGGUAGCAUAAUCAUUAGUUUUUUAAUUGAAAGCUGGAAUGAACGGUUGGACGAGAAAAUGACUGUCUCAAUUUAAUUUAAUAUAGAAUUUUAUUUAUAAGUAAAAAAGCUUAUAUAAAUUUAAAAGACGAGAAGACCCUAUAGAAUUUUAUAUUUAUAGGUUUAUAUUAUUUUUAGAAUGAUAAGUUUUAUAGAUUUAUAUAUAUUUUGUUGGGGCGAUAGAAAAAUUAAAUAAACUUUUUUUAUAUUAAGUCAUUAAUUUAUGAGUAGAUGAUCCAUUCUUUAUGAUUAUAAGAUUAAAUUACCUUAGGGAUAACAGCGUAAUUUUUUUUUAGAGUUCUUAUCGAAAAAAGAGUUUGCGACCUCGAUGUUGGAUUAAAAUUAACUUUUGGUGUAGGGGCUAAAAGGUUAGGUCUGUUCGACCUUUAAAAUUUUACA